rnacentral:lncRNA from 1 species
CGGAAACGCCACAGGCCUCUGCUAUAGGGGAGGGGUCCCUUCUGAAUAUUUUAUCUAAAGAAUGAAAGAGUAUGCUGUGAAAAUGAUAUAAUGGAGGAUUCAGAAGAAAAUUUCAGUAAAUUACUUGGCAUCUUUGGUGAAAUGCAAGAAGACAUGGCUUCUAUAGCAAAGGAGCAAAAAUUCGAAGAAGACAGGCUGAGAGGCAACUGGAGUGAAGAUCCCGCCACUGCUCAGAGGACUACUGCGCUGCUUACUACUGAUCCUAGGAAUCCCACAUCCUCUUUCUGGCCUCCAAUACUGACCAUCAAUACUUCUCAGACCCCCUUCUCACCACCUCAGUUCUCCUGAUUCAUUAAUAUGCUAUCCUCCCUCCUAUAAAGGAAAUAUACCUGCCACUACA